rnacentral:rRNA from 1 species
AAGCGGAGGAAAAGAAACUAACAAGGAUUCCCCUUGGUAGCUGCGAGCGAACAGGGAGGAGCCCAGCACUGAAUCCCCGUAGGCCUCGCCUACUGGGAGAUGUGGUGUUUAGGAGGGUUCGUUACACCCGACAUUGUUUGCACAGCGUCCAAGUCCAUCUUGAACGAGGCCACGGUCCCGAGAGGGUGCCAGGCCCGUAGUUGGCCUGUGCCGGUGUCUGGGUGAACCUCUCCUUAGAGUCGGGUUGCUUGAGAGUGCAGCCCAAAGCGGGUGGUAAACUCCAUCUAAGGCUAAAUACAACCACGAGACCGAUAGCGAACAAGUACCGUGAGGGAAAGUUGAAAAGGACUUUGAAGAGAGAGUUCAAGAGUACGUGAAACCGCUCAGGGGUAAACGGAAAAGACCCGAAAUUCCGAAAAGGGAGAUUCACGUCUGCUCGCGCGCCUCUGCUCGGCACCUGUCGCGUUUGGACGGCCAUUUGUGCCCCCCGUUUGUGCGCAAGCUCAAGCGGUCGGGUCUGGUUGCCGACGCGCGGGUUGUCCGAGCCGCGGCGGACCGCACUUCUCCCUUAGUAGGACGUCGCGACCCGCCCGUCCGUGGCCUAAGGCUGGGCAAGACGCCUGACGCUCGCCGUUGGCUUUUAGCCAGCGACUGUGCGUCAGACUGCCCGUGCUUCCCGGCCACGGUUUUUUUACGGACGGUAUCGAAUACCGGUGUCGAGUCGCUUCUUCGCGAGGGGGAGAUAAAACACCCUCUCGUACGGAAGCGCCCUAGGCAGAGGGCAAGGUUUUUCCGAGUCUCUAAAAACGUAAGUUUUGAAGUCAAGACGUUUGUUUUCUGUUCGUCUGGCGGAGCUCGGGCCUGUUGGUUCUCUUGGUCUUUGGGCAGGCUCAUUCCCAUUGCGCGGAGAAAGGCACCAGUCAGCGGCGAUCUAGUUUUGGGCUCUUUUCCGACCCGUCUUGAAACACGGACCAAGGAGUUUAGCGUGCUCGCGAGUCAUUGGGUGUUACAAAACCUAAAGGCGAAAUGAAAGUAAAGAGAGUCCCUUUUUUUGUGGCUCUCGAGGGAGGAUGAGCUACUGCUCUGGUCGUUCCUAACCGGCGGCUGAGCGUGUCUCCGCACUCCCGGGGCGACUCUUUCUCAUUGCGAGUGGAGGCGCACCAAGAGCGAGUACGCUGAAACCCGAAAGAUGGUGAACUAUGCCUGGCCAGGACGAAGCCAGGGGAAACCCUGGUGGAGGUCCGCAGCGAUUCUGACGUGCAAAUCGAUCGUCGGAGCUGGGUAUAGGGGCGAAAGACCAAUCGAACCAUCUAGUAGCUGGUUCCCUCUGAAGUUUCCCUCAGGAUAGCUUGCGCUCGGGUGUGAAGAGUCUCAUCCGGUAGAGCGAAUGAUUAGAGGCCUUGGGGUCGAAACGACCUCAACCUAUUCUCAAACUCCAAAUAGAUGAGAACCCCGGCUUGCUUGAAUUUUCCAUGUGUGUUGAAGCCGCGGGACUCGGAUCAGAGUGCCAAGUGGGCCAAUUUUGGUAAGCAGAAUG